UACGUAGGGUGCAAGCGUUGUCCGGAUUUAUUGGGCGUAAAGAGCUCGUAGGCGGUUUGCCACGUCGGAUGUGAAAACCUAUGGCUUAACCAUGGGCCUGCAUUCGAUACGGGCAGACUAGAGUUUGGUAGGGGAGAUUGGAAUUCCUGGUGUAGCGGUGAAAUGCGCAGAUAUCAGGAGGAACACCGGUGGCGAAGGCGGAUCUCUGGGCCAAUACUGACGCUGAGGAGCGAAAGCGUGGGGAGCAAACAGGAUUAGAUACCCUGGUAGUCCACGCCGUAAACGGUGGGCGCUAGGUGUGGGGAACCUUCCACGUUCUCUGUGCCGUAGCUAACGCAUUAAGCGCCCCGCCUGGGGAGUACGGCCGCAAGGCUAAA
rnacentral:rRNA from 1 species